CCUACGGGUGGCUGCAGUGGGGAAUAUUGCACAAUGGGGGAAACCCUGAUGCAGCGACGCCGCGUGAGUGAAGAAGUAAUUCGUUAUGUAAAGCUCUAUCAGCAGGGAAGAAAAUGACGGUACCUGGGUAAGAAGCCCCGGCUAACUACGUGCCAGCAGCCGCGGUAAUACGUAGGGGGCAAGCGGUAUCCGGAUUUCCUGGGUGGAAAGGGAGCGUAGACGGCAGUGCAAGUCUGGAGUGAAAGGCGGGGGCUCAACCCCCGGACUGCUCUGGACACUGUACGGCUGGAGUGCAGGAGAGGGAAGUGGAAGUCCUAGUGGAGCGGUGAAAUGCGGAGAUAUUAGGAGGAACAACAGGGGGGAAGGCGGCUUACUGGACUGUAACUGACGGUGAGGCUCGAAAGCGGGGGGAGCAAACAGGACUAGAUACCCGUGUAGUC
rnacentral:rRNA from 1 species